rnacentral:rRNA from 1 species
GGUCCCAACGUUCCCACUAGGGAGCUACACACAUAGCGAGUCUGAGGGAGAAGCCCUUCGGCCCUUUCAUUACAAGGCGCACGGGUGCGUAGCGCGUAUGCAACCUACCUUUCACAGGGGGAUAGCCCGAAAAAAUUUGGAUUAAUACCCCAUAAUAUUAUUGGAUGGCAUCAUUUGAUAAUUAAAAUUACGAAGGUGAAAGAUGGGCAUGCGUCCUAUUAGCUAGUUGGAGUGGUAACGGCUCCCCUCUGCUACGAUAGGUAGGGGUCCUGAGAGGGAGAUCCCCCACACUGGUACUGAAACAGGGACCAGACUCCUACGGGAGGCAGCAGUGAGGAAUAUUGGUCAAUGGUCGGAAGACUGAACCAGCCAUGCCGCGUGCAGGAAGAAUGCCUUAUGGGUUGUAAACUGCUUUUAUAUGGGAAGAAUAAGGCGUACGUGUACGUUGAUGACGGUACCAUAUGAAUAAGCAUCGGCUAACUCCGUGCCAGCAGCCGCGGUAAUACGGAGGAUGCGAGCGUUAUUCGGAAUCAUUGGGUUUAAAGGGUCUGUAGGCGGGCUAUUAAGUCAGGGGUGAAAGGUUUCAGCUUAACUGAUAAAUUGCCUUUGAUACUGGUAGUCUUGAAUAUCUGUGAA